CUAGCUGCCAAGUUAUUUUCUUUUUAAUUAUUUCAUAAUCUAAUAAUUUCUUGAAUACCUGGGAAAUCUAUUUUUAGGGGAUCUUAUCAAUGAAAACACACUGAUGAAAGUGAUUAGAGGGCUUAAUAAGAGUACUGGGGUUGUGCUAGAAUAUUUGCAAGAAGCAAAGGAGCAUGGACAUAGAAAAGGAAAAGACAUUUUAGCAUCUAUACCGGGUUAUUGGGAGGUAAUAUGUUCUAUAUUUGAAGGUGAAGAUGAACAUAUGUUUAUCAGCGCCCAAUUAUUACCUGCGAUUCGGUAUUUUAUUGUACAAAUAUAAAAUGCCUAAAUUCCAUUUCUAUAUUUACAAAUGAACGUCCUUUCAAUAAUUCACUCCUUUCUUUGCAAUUUUAGAAGAAUCAGAUAAGGAAGUUAAAUGAUUCAACAUCCAAGUAAAAGCAUAUGAAGAUAAUUCAAAUUUGAACAUGUCUGUACAACUUAUAUGCUCAAAGAAACGAGUAAUAAAUGUGGGAAAGUUCCAAUUCUUUCAGCAGAUCCAUUUCAUAGAACUCUUAGUUCAUUGUUUUUCCUUUUUUUUUUUUAAUCUUUACCUAUUAUUUUAUUUGGUUUAAUGUGGUUGAGUGAUACCACUUUUUAAUUGACAAAACAUUUUCAUUUCAUAUUUCUUUCAAGUGGGAAUCUCAACAUCAGAUUUCUUCUUUCUUCUUUGAAGUGGAAAUUUCUUUGGUAGAAAUUACUUUAGCCCAUUUCACAAUUUGAGUAUAUUCAUACUAAAAGAACAUCAUUCCAUGUGACUUUUACUCUUUUCAGUGUUUACUAGAUGGUUUGGUUCUCUUUUGAUUGUGGACUUUUCCUAUUUUAUGCAAUCCUUAUUGUUCCCGUGUUUCAGAUAGCAUGGACUUUCUUCUCUAUAUGAUACAUGUUUUAUAUACUUCAAAGAAUUUCAGGAACACUCCAAUAUUUUUGAAGUAUAAGUUCGUGUCCAAGGAACCCUUUUGUUUAGGGGCAUAUAUCUCACAAUGCACAAUUAUUUGGGAUUCUACCUUGGUUAAAAAGAAUCCAUUGGAGCAGUGAAGCCAACUUGGAGCAAUUUUGAUUGAUAUAAGACUUUUUGUAUGGUUGGUAGCAAAAUCUUGGUUCCAAUGUACUAAUUUUAGGCUUGUUGUUAGAUAAAGAUGUCAAUGUUUAUUCUUUUUACAUGUAAACUACAUUUUAACAAAAAAUGAUUAGUAAUCAAUGAGUGUACAAAUA